ACUACAAGCGUCCCCCAGCAAAGCUGCACCGCCAUUUCCUGUGCUUGGGAACUGAAGGCAAGACAGAGGCUCACUAGUGGCACGAUCUUGGCUGAUUGCAUCUUCCACCUCCUGGGUUCAAGAGAUUCUUGUGCCUUAGCUUCCUGAGUAGCUAAGAUUACAGGUGUGCACCACCACGCCCGGCUAAUUUUUGUAUUUUUAGUUGAGAUGAGGUUUCACCAUGUUGGCCAGGCUGGUCUCGAACUCCUGACCUCAAGUGAUCUGCCCGCCCCGGCCUCCCAAAGUGCUGGGAUUACAGGCGUGAGCUACUGUGGCCGGCCACAUUUCCCUUCUGGUGCGCGUCCUCCUGUAGCUGUGGGAUCAGGGGAGGUAGAGAUGUCUUGUAACUGACUCAAGUUUGGCUGCUUGCCGCAGGAGAAGCGAGGUGUGGUGAAAGGAAAGCAACUUUUAUUCAGAUGCUAGCAGGUGGGAGAGUGGCCAGGCUCAAGGCUCUAAGGAACCAUCUCAGCUUUUUGGACUGCGUGAAGGGCUUUAGGAAGGAGAACUCGGUGUGGGAGACAUGUGGGAGUAGGGCAGUGGUGCAGGUGUCUUGAGUAAUUGCCCAUCCGGAGGUCUAGUUGGCAUCAUCUUGACCUUGGUCUGGUGGUGGUGGACUCAUUGUUCAUAACUCCCCUAGACAGGAGGAUUCCACAGCUGGGUUCUAUGCCUGGUUUAUUUAAAAAUGAGCCCCUGGCAUUUCUAAGCAGGCACAGAAUGAGAUAAGUGAGCACUGUGGCUGGUGGGAAAGGGAGGGAAACAGGUUUAAAGUAUGUUUCAAGGCUGCAUUCUGAGACUAGGAGGGAAAGGAAGAAAAACUUUAAAAUUCUUCUCAAGGCUGAGAUAUUUGACUACAGUCUCAUGCCCAAAAUGUUUCUAUUCUACACUGAGACCUGAUAGAUAAUUUGGCUGCAUACCUGGAGUCCAGUGUGUGCACCUGCCCCUCCCAUCCCAUACUCGCAGCCAGUGGAAAAGUCUGCAAAAGGAAGCCAGCUGGGAGUGCCCACCAGAGUCAAAGUCUGGGGCAGGCUGGUGGACUCAAGAGGAGUCUUAAAUAUUGGAAAUGUCAUCACAAACCAUCUGGGAAGCCCCCUCCUCUUAAAAAGGACAUAAAGUCAAAGUGAACAGGUGUGCUCACUCCAAGCCCGUGCCCACAACCACAGUGCCCUUCACAUUCAGAGUCAUGGCCACUAGCCACAAAAUUGUGACUUACAGUUCACAAAAUUGGGACAUAUUUACAUGUUGACUAAGUUGGGAAAUAAUUUGGAUUUUCUUUAAAAGUAGUAAAAGUAAAGAAGAAAAAGUCAAAAAGGUCUGACAUCUAAGAGGGUGAAAUUUCCUUACUUUAGAUCACAAGCAAUCAGGCUGAUCCCGCCUGAGCCCUGAGCUCCCUGGGACCCAGCAGCAGCUGUGCAUUGGCACGUGGUGCCCUGUGUCUGAUCAGCUGACUCCUCAGGCAAAACCUGCACCAUUUUCACCAGAAUUGCAGAUGUCCUCAGUGUCAUUACAAAGUUCCUAAGUCAUGACCAUUCUGUCCUGUGGAACCAGGCUGGACUAAGCUCCCAUUUCUUUAAGCCAUCCUGUCCCCUGCAGGGACUUCCAAGGUGGAGCUGAUGAGCAAUAGUUAUGAGUCAUUGGAGGAGACAUCCCAGAGGCGCCAGCUCCCCUCUGCCCUAAACUGAAAUUAAGACCUGGUGCUCUGGGUGGGGCCCCUGGAAGGGGAUGUGCAACUCAGAGGGGACCUUCUCCACCUCCACCCAGGAGACCCCAGAGGGACCAUGGCAGAGCCGGAGCCCUCUUUUUUUUUGUUCGUUUUUUAUUUUAUUAUUAUUAUACUUUAAGUUUUAGCCCUCUUUUAAAAACCAAAUGAAAAUAAGCAAAAGAAGCCAAUCGUCUCUGUGAAAUGUCCAGAAGAGGGAACUCUGUAGAGACAGAGAGGAUAUUAUUGGCUGCCGGAGGCUGGGAAUGGGAAGGUGAGGGGCCUGGGGAGGUGAUGGUUAAAAGAUUCUUCUUUGUGGUGAUGAAAUUGUCUUAAAAUGGACUGUGGUGAUAGUUGUGCAACUUGGUGAAUAUAUAAGUUAUUGAAUUGUACACUUUAAAUGGGUGAAUUGUAUGGUGUGUGAAACAUAUCUCAAUAAAGCUGUUAUUUGAAAAAUAAAUAAGUAAAUA
rnacentral:lncRNA from 1 species